AUCCUGUGUCUCCCUAACCUGCUGCCACUCCCUAAAUGGCUCUCUCCCUCACUCUCCUUGUUUGUGUGUGUGUGUGAUUGUCUGCAGGUGUGCUGGAGUCAGAGCAGAGCCACACCAGCUGCACCUCAUCACAGUAAUCAAGCCCUCUAAAAAUACUCAGCCCUGCCACUUCCACUCUGCCAGAUCGUAGACUCUGCUACCUUCCUGUCUGCUCUGGCUCCGGUCCCUGCCUCCUGUUCCCUGCAGUCUCUUCUUCCCCAUAGCAACGGUGGCCAAGGCUCAUGGAAUGGGGAAAAACCCUUCCGGAACCAGCAGCUCCUCCCACUUCGCAACUCCAUAGCAAGCUGUCUCAUCAGUGCUGCCUUUGAGGUCAUGGAGAGCUAUAGAGUCCAAAACAUACAAACAGCUUGGACCUGGGUGAACCACCCUCCACUCACUAUGUGAGUGUGUCUCUCUCCUCUCCUCUUUUUAUUCACAAUUAGUACCAAGGAUAGUCAAAAUGCUACUAAAAUGUGUAAAAUUAUAUAUUUUGACUUGUCUAACCAAUGUUAACCUUUAUUAAGAUAUCCAAUAUGCAAGUGGAUAGCUUUUAAAUAUUCUGUAGUAAAAAUGA